rnacentral:rRNA from 1 species
AACGCAGGAGACAAACGUUAUCCGGAGUUACUGGGCGUAAAGGGCGUGUAGGUGGUUUCGUAAGUCUGGCGUGAAAUUUUUCGGCUUAACCGGGAAAGGUCGUCGGAUACUGCGGAACUAGAGGACGGUAGAGGCGUGUGGAAUUCCGGGCGUAGUGGUGAAAUGCGUAGAGAUCCGGAGGAACACCAGUGGCGAAGGCGACACGCUGGGCCGUACCUGACACUGAUGCGCGACAGCAUGGGGAGCAAACAGG